CCUACGGGAGGCAGCAGUGGGGAAUUUUGGACAAUGGGCGCAAGCCUGAUCCAGCAAUGCCGCGUGAGUGAAGAAGGCCUUCGGGUUGUAAAGCUCUUUUGUCAGGGAAGAAACGGCAGUUUCUAAUACAGAUUGCUAAUGACGGUACCUGAAGAAUAAGCACCGGCUAACUACGUGCCAGCAGCCGCGGUAAUACGUAGGGUGCAAGCGUUAAUCGGAAUUACUGGGCGUAAAGCGUGCGCAGGCGGUUUUGUAAGUUUGUCGUGAAGUCCCCGGGCUCAACCUGGGAAUGGCGAUGAAGACUGCAAGGCUAGAAUCUGGCAGAGGGGGGUAGAAUUCCACGUGUAGCAGUGAAAUGCGUAGAGAUGUGGAGGAACACCGGAUGGCGAAGGCAGCCCCCUGGGUCAAGAUUGACGCUCAUGCACGAAAGCGUGGGGAGCAAAACGAGGAUUAGACUACCCGUGGUAGUCCACGCCCUAAACGAUGUCUACUAGUUGUCGGUUUUAAUUAACUUGGUAACGNAGNACGCGUGAGUAGACGCCGNGGGAGGUACGGUCGCGAAGAGUAAACGUUAACGAAAGUAAGUUAGUUAGGCGUUGNGAGNGCGACGGACGACGACGAGGGAGGAGG
rnacentral:rRNA from 1 species